UACAUAGGUCCCAAGCGUUGUUCGGAUUCAUUGGGCGUAAAGGGUGUGUAGGUGGCUCCGUAAGUCGGGUGUGAAAUCUCGGAGCUUAACUCCGAAACUGCAUUCGAUACUGCCGUGCUUGAGGACUGGAGAGGAGACUGGAAUUUACGGUGUAGCGGUGAAAUGCGUAGAUAUUCGCAAGAACACCAGUGGCGAAGGCGGCUCACUGGCCCGAUACUGACGCUGAGGCACGAAAGCGUGGGGAGCAAACAGG
rnacentral:rRNA from 1 species